rnacentral:rRNA from 1 species
UACGUAGGUGGCAAGCGUUGUCCGGAUUUAUUGGGUUUAAAGGGUGCGUAGGCGGCUUAUUAAGUCAGUGCUGAAAUAUCCCGGCUUAACCGGGAGGGUGGCAUUGAUACUGAUGAGCUUGAGUAGAGUUGAGGUUGGCGGAAUUGACGGUGUAGCGGUGAAAUGCUUAGAUAUCGUCAAGAACUCCGAUAGUGAAGACAGCUGACUAAACUUUAACUGACGCUGAGGCACGAAAGUGUGGGGAUCAAACAGG